CUUCUCAUCAGUCUUUGUAUCUUUCUUCUUCUUUUCUUGCUUUUUUGGUUAUGUUUUUCUCGAUUUAGACAAAAACCCUAGACUUGAUUUUCCAAAAGGUGUCUCAAAUAGUAUCCCUUUCCUAUAUUCAUAUUCGUAUCUCUGGAGAUGGAAGAACUGCGAGUGAAUGAGUUGGGACAAAAGAAAAACAUAGCAACUGACAGAAGAGAGUGAGCACACAAAGGUAAUUUGCAUAUACUGCAUUUGCUUCUCUUGCGUGCUCACUGCUCUCUCUGUCAGAUUCUAGUGCUGAUCUCGUUGGCCUGUCCUUGUUCUCUUUGUCUCAAUCUCUCUCUCACAUACACAAUCUCUCUCUACUUCUCUUGUUCAUCUCAAAUAAAAGGUAAGCUUAGUAUAGGAUUUAAACGAUGGCUUGUUCUUGUUUAGAGUUUGGUUCGAUCUGAUUGCAUGCGAGGUGAGAGCUUUAGACCUUAACCAUUCAUUAUAGUUUAAGGUAUCGAAAAAGCUUAAUCUAUGAGAUUAGGCGUGGUUAAACGAAAUUAAGCAUGGUAACCUAGUUUUUAGUAGGCUGGUCCUUAAUUUUCUCGAUUCAUGUAUAUAUUAUAUCAUUUAUUUUUUCCUUUUCUCGGGGCUUUUUAAUCCCUAGCUCCCUUUUUAUACUCAUAUACAAUAUAUCAUGAAUCAUGUGAUCAUCUCAUUUUGCGUGUAUAAGAUGUUGCAAGAGUACUCUGGUCAUGAUAUUUGCAUUAUAAGAAUGAGUCGCCGGCUUCUUGUUUAUCUAAAUGGUUUGCUCGUACAUUUUGAUUCCAUGAAGUACAUAAUUAUCUAUGUUCAGAAAAGGUACAUAAUUAUCUAAUUAUGUUGGCAUAUUAUCUAAUUAUAAUUACAUAGUUAUCCAAUUAUAAUACAUAAUUAUCUAUUAUCUAUUAUCUAUUAUCUAGUGUCCCAUUAUUUAAAGAAAUAAACUACAGUCUCUAUACAUUUACCAAAAGAAUAAUUGUGUUGGCAUAUAAUUAGUUGACAUUUUGUAAAUAAAUAUUUGACUCAAUGUAAAAAUGUUUCAUUUGUUGACAUGAAUACUAUGAGAAUAUUCUUGCGGUUGUUUGUUUUCUUAGAUUAAUUUUAGAACACAAUUUCUAUGCAAACUAAAACAGCCAAUACUGUAUGAAGUUGUUGUGUUGGUGCCACAUGUUGAUGUGUCAUGUCUUUCCGCUUUUGUACUGUAAGGCUGUUGAAAAAUAUUGUUGUUUGUCGACAAAUAUCAAUACCAGUAAUUAAUUUUUGGUCUUUACUGUUACACUUUCUAUCUUUUUUUGGUUAAGUGAUCAGUCGUUGGGCUGAAAUUACCAUUGUGAUACUGAUACCGGUGAGUGGCCAGAUGUGUGUAUCACAUAGGAACCAGUCUUUGUAUAUAUUGCAGUCGUUGUGAUGUUUGCGUUUCAAAUGCACAAUAUGUUAUGUUAAAAAAAUGCACAAUAUGUUCUAGCUUUAAUUAGUUAAGUCAGUACUCAAUACUAAUAUUAGUGAAACAAUUGAGAAA